rnacentral:rRNA from 1 species
UACAGAGGUCCCAAGCGUUGUUCGGAAUUAUUGGGCGUAAAGGGUGCGUAGGCGGUAGGAUAAGUUAGAUGUGAAAUCCCCGGGCUCAACCUGGGAACUGCAUUUGUGACUGCAUGGCUAGAGUACGGCAGAGGGGGAUGGAAUUCCGCGUGUAGCAGUGAAAUGCGUAGAUAUGCGGAGGAACACCGAUGGCGAAGGCAAUCCCCUGGGCCUGUACUGACGCUCAUGCACGAAAGCGUGGGGAGCAAACAGG